AUGAGUAGGGCGGGACACGUGACAUCCUGUCUGAAUAUGGGGGGACCAUCCUCCAAGGCUAAAUACUCCUGACUGACCGAUAGUGAACCAGUACCGUGAGGGAAAGGCGAAAAGAACCCCGGCGAGGGGAGUGAAAUAGAACCUGAAACCGUGUACGUACAAGCAGUGGGAGCCUACUUGUUAGGUGACUGCGUACCUUUUGUAUAAUGGGUCAGCGACUUAUAUUCUGUAGCAAGGUUAACCGUAUAGGGGAGCCGCAGGGAAACCGAGUCUUAACUGGGCGUUAAGUUGCAGGGUAUAGACCCGAAACCCGGUGAUCUAGCCAUGGGCAGGUUGAAGGUUGGGUAACACUAACUGGAGGACCGAACCGACUAAUGUUGAAAAAUUAGCGGAUGACUUGUGGCUGGGGGUGAAAGGCCAAUCAAACCGGGAGAUAGCUGGUUCUCCCCGAAAGCUAUUUAGGUAGCGCCUCGUGAAUUCAUCUUCGGGGGUAGAGCACUGUUUCGGCUAGGGGGUCAUCCCGACUUACCAACCCGAUGCAAACUACGAAUACCGAAGAAUGUUAUCACGGGAGACACACGGCGGGUGCUAACGUUCGUCGUGAAGAGGGAAACAACCCAGACCGCCAGCUAAGGUCCCAAAGUCAUGGUUAAGUGGGAAACGAUGUGGGAAGGCACAGACAGCCAGGAUGUUGGCUUAGAAGCAGCCAUCAUUUAAAGAAAGCGUAAUAGCUCACUGGUCGAGUCGGCCUGCGCGGAAGAUGUAACGGGGCUAAACCAUGCACCGAAGCUGCGGCAGCGACACUUAGGUGUUGUUGGGUAGGGGAGCGUUCUGUAAGCCGUCGAAGGUGGCCUGUGAGGGCUGCUGGAGGUAUCAGAAGUGCGAAUGCUGACAUAAGUAACGAUAAUGCGGGUGAAAAACCCGCACGCCGGAAGACCAAGGGUUCCUGUCCAACGUUAAUCGGGGCAGGGUGAGUCGACCCCUAAGGCGAGGCUGAAAAGCGUAGUCGAUGGGAAACAGGUUAAUAUUCCUGUACUCGGUGUUACUGCGAAGGGGGGACGGAGAAAGCUAGGUUAUCCGGGCGACGGUUGUCCCGGUUUAAGCGUGAAGGUGGAUGACUUUGGUAAAUCCGGGUCGUCAUUAACACUGAGGCGUGAUGACGAGUCACUACGGUGAUGAAGUAACCAAUGCUACGCUUCCAGGAAAAGCCUCUAAGCUCCAGGUAACAUCAAAUCGUACCCCAAACCGACACAGGUGGUCAGGUAGAGAAUACUCAGGCGCUUGAGAGAACUCGGGUGAAGGAACUAGGCAAAAUGGUGCCGUAACUUCGGGAGAAGGCACGCUGAUGGUAGGUGAAGUGACUUGCUCAUGGAGCUGAAAUCAGUCGAAGAUACCAGCUGGCUGCAACUGUUUAAUAAAAACACAGCACUGUGCAAACACGAAAGUGGACGUAUACGGUGUGACGCCUGCCCGGUGCCGGAAGGUUAAUUGAUGGGGUCAGCCGCAAGGCGAAGCUCUUGAUCGAAGCCCCGGUAAACGGCGGCCGUAACUAUAACGGUCCUAAGGUAGCGAAAUUCCUUGUCGGGUAAGUUCCGACCUGCACGAAUGGCGUAAUGAUGGCCAGGCUGUCUCCACCCGAGACUCAGUGAAAUUGAACUCGCUGUGAAGAUGCAGUGUACCCGCGGCAAGACGGAAAGACCCCGUGAACCUUUACUAUAGCUUGACACUGAACCUUGAGCCUUGAUGUGUAGGAUAGGUGGGAGGCUUUGAAGCGUGGACGCCAGUCUGCGUGGAGCCAACCUUGAAAUACCACCCUUUAAUGUUUGAUGUUCUAACGUGGACCCGUAAUCCGGGUUGCGGACAGUGUCUGGUGGGUAGUUUGACUGGGGCGGUCUCCUCCCAAAGCGUAACGGAGGAGCACGAAGGUUAGCUAAUCCUGGUCGGACAUCAGGAGGUUAGUGCAAAGGCAUAAGCUAGCUUGACUGCGAGAGUGACAGCUCGAGCAGGUGCGAAAGCAGGUCUUAGUGAUCCGGUGGUUCUGAAUGGAAGGGCCAUCGCUCAACGGAUAAAAGGUACUCCGGGGAUAACAGGCUGAUACCGCCCAAGAGUUCAUAUCGACGGCGGUGUUUGGCACCUCGAUGUCGGCUCAUCACAUCCUGGGGCUGAAGUAGGUCCCAAGGGUAUGGCUGUUCGCCAUUUAAAGUGGUACGCGAGCUGGGUUUAGAACGUCGUGAGACAGUUCGGUCCCUAUCUGCCGUGGGCGUUGGAAGAUUGAGAGGGGUUGCUCCUAGUACGAGAGGACCGGAGUGAACGCACCACUGGUGUACGGGUUGUGAUGCCAAUUGCAUUGCCCGGUAGCUAAGUGCGGAAGAGAUAACCGCUGAAAGCAUCUAAGCGGGAAACUUGCCUCGAGAUGAGUCUUCCCUGGACACUUGAUGUCCCUGAAGGGCCGUUGAAGACGACGACGUAGAUAGGCUGGGUGUGUAAGCGUAGCGAUACGUUGAGCUAACCAGUACUAAUGACCCGAGAGGCUUAACCU
rnacentral:rRNA from 1 species